rnacentral:rRNA from 1 species
GAAUUUUGGACAAUGGGCGAAAGCCUGAUCCAGCAAUGCCGCGUGCAGGAUGAAGGCCUUCGGGUUGUAAACUGCUUUUGUACGGAACGAAAAGCUUUGGGUUAAUACCCUGGAGUCAUGACGGUACCGGAAGCAUAAGCCCCGGCUACAUACUUUCCCGCCGCCGCGGUAAUACGUAGGGUGCAAGCGUUAACCGGAAUUACUGGGCGUAAAGCGUGCGCAGGCGGUUUUGUAAGACAGAGGCGAAAUCCCCGGGCUCAACCUGGGAACUGCCUUUGUGACUGCAAGGCUAGAGUACGGCAGAGGGGGGUGGAAUUCCGCGUGUAGCAGUGAAAUGCGUAGAUAUGCGGAGGAACACCGAUGGCGAAGGCAACCCCCUGGGCCUGUACUGACGCUCAUGCACGAAAGCAUGGGUAGCGAAC